CCAGUUCAUAAGAAUGGUCAUCCCAUCCCAUAAUGGUCACUUAUAUGACAUAUGAAGCUUUAGUUCAUCAUGCAGUCUUGACUGCUGACACUGAUUGGACUAGACUGAGAAUUUGGCCAUACUGGAAUAGCUAAAGGGUCUGUCAGUAGUGUUGGUCCACCUAGAAAUGAUUGAUGGGCCUACUCAGGUGGGUCAUUUAGAGCAUCUCCUCAAAUUGGUCAUCCUGGCAAUACUGAGUGGGGUAUAAGUUGACCAUUCUGGCAUAGCUGCUUAACGUUGGUCAGCUUCAACUAAAAAGAUUGGUCAUUUGAAAAUUGGUGUUAAUGAAGGACCUUAAAUUCUUCCAUCAUGAUAUCUGUUAAAACUGGUUGGACUAAACUGGAGAAUUUGGCGAUACUGGAAUAGCCGAAGGGUCUGCUAGUGAUAGUCCAACUGAACAUGACUGAGGGGCUGCUCAGGUGGCUCAUUCUGCAUUGUCCCCUUGUCAUCCUCGCUGUACUGAGAAGGUUAGGUUGGUUUGGUUAAGCUGACCAUUCCAGCAUAGCUGCUUUCAAGUUAGUCAGCAUUUUAGGAAGGAUGCUUCAGCUAACCUGACUGGUCAUUCCAUAGUGGUCAUUAAGUGACCUUAAGUUGGCUCAUUGUGCUGGCAUGGCUGCUGAAACUGGUUGAACUAAACUGGAGAAGCUAAAGGGUCUGUCAGGGUUAGUCCAAGUG